rnacentral:rRNA from 1 species
GAGCCUGGCUCAGGAUGAACGCUAGCGGCAGGCUUAACACAUGCAAGUCGAGGGGCAGCAUAAUGGAUAGCAAUAUCUAUGGUGGCGACCGGCGCACGGGUGCGUAACGCGUAUGCAACCUACCUUUAACAGGGGGAUAACACUGAGAAAUUGGUACUAAUACCCCAUAAUAUCAUAGAAGGCAUCUUUUAUGGUUGAAAAUUCCGAUGGUUAGAGAUGGGCAUGCGUUGUAUUAG